rnacentral:rRNA from 1 species
UAGGGAAUCUUCCGCAAUGGACGAAAGUCUGACGGAGCAACGCCGCGUGAGUGAAGAAGGAUUUCGGUUCGUAAAACUCUGUUGUUAGGGAAGAAAAAAUGUAUAGUAACUAUAUACAAAAGAGACGGUACCUAACCAGAAAGCCACGGCUAACUACGUGCCAGCAGCCGCGGUAAUACGUAGGUGGCAAGCGUUGUCCGGAAUUAUUGGGCGUAAAGCGCGCGCAGGUGGUUUAGAAAGUCUGAUGUGAAAUCCCACGGCUCAACCGUGGAGGGUCAUUGGAAACUAAUAAACUUGAGUGCAGGAGAGAAAAGUGGAAUUCCUAGUGUAGCGGUGAAAUGCGUAGAGAUUAGGAGGAACACCGGUGGCGAAAGCGGCUUUUUGGCCUGCAACUGACACUGAGGCGCGAAAGCGUGGGGAGCAAACAGG